ensembl:lncRNA
GUCUUUUCCAAUGAGUCAGCUCUUCACAUCAGGUGGCCAAAGUAUUGGAGUUUCAGCUUCAGCAUCAGUCCUUCCAAUGAAUAUUCAGGACUAAUUUCUUUUAGAACUGACUGCUUUGAUCUCCUUGCAAUCCAAGCGACUCUCAAGAGUCUUCUCCAACACCACAGUUCAAAAGCAUCAGUUCUUCAGUGCUCAGCUUUCUUUAAGUUGUAUUUAAUGUUGCCCCCAUUAAAUACAACUUAAAACCCUAGAAGUGGUCAAACAGGAGAUGGCAAGAGUGAACAUCAACAUUUACAUCAGCAAACUAAAAUGGACCAGAAUAGGCAAAUUUAAUUCAAAUGACCAUUAUAUUUACUACUGUGGGCGAGAAUCCUUUAGAAGAAAGGGAGUAGCCCUCAUAGUCAACAAAAUGCAGUACUUGGAUACAAUCUCAAAAAUGACAGAAUGAUCUCAGUUCAUUUCCAAGGCAAACCAUUCAACAUCACAGUAAUCCAAGUCUAUAUCCCAACGACUAAUGCCGAAGAAGAUGGAAGUUGAAUGGUUCUAUGAAGACCUACAAGACCUUCUAGAACUAACACCAAAAAAAAAAAAGUCCUUUUCAUCAUAGGGGACUGGAAUGCAAAAGUAGGAAGUUAAGAGAUACCUGGAGUAACAGGCAAGUUUGGCCUUGGAGUACAAAAUGAAGCAGGGUAAAGACCAACAGAGUUUUGCCAACAAAACGCACUGGUCAUACCAAACACUCUCUUCUAACAACACAAGAGACAACUCUACACAUGGACAUCACCAGACGAUCAAUACAGGAAUCAGAUUGAUUAUAUUCUUUGCAGUCAAAGAUGGAGAAGCUCUAUCUAUACAGUCAGCAAAAAAAGGCCGGGAGUUGACUGCGGCUCAGAUCAUGAGCUUGUUAUUGCAAAAUUCAGGCUUAAAUUGAAGAAAGCAGGAAAAACCACUAGGUCAUUCAGAUAUGACCUAAAUCAAAUCCUUUACGAUUGUAUAGUAGAAGUGACAAAUAGAUUCAAGGGAUUAGAUCUAAUAGACAGAGUGCUUAAAGAACUAUGGAUGGAGCUUUGAAACCCUGUAUAGGAGGUGAUGACCAAAACCAUCCCCAAGAAAAAGAAAUGCAAGAAGGCAAAAUGGUUCUCUGAAAAGAAGAGCACAAAAGGCAAAGGAAAAAAGGAAAGAUAUACCCAUCUGAAUGCAGAGUUCCA